GGGUGCGACCAUACCAGCACUAACGCACCGGAUCCCAUCAGAACUCCGAAAUUAAGCAUGCUUGGGCGAGAGUAGUACUAGGAUGGGUGACCCCUUGGGAAGUCCUCGUGUUGCAACCA
rnacentral:rRNA from 1 species